GUUCAUGCUUUUACAGUAUGAAAAUUGGUGAUUUAUAAUAACUUAGCAAAUCGCAAAGUGAAAACAGGCGAUAAAUCAUUCAAGUUUCUGACCUAUCAGCUUUCGACGGUAUGGUAUUGGCUUACCGUGGCAGUGACGGUUAACGGGGGAUUAGGGUUCGAUUCCGGAGAGGGAGCCUGAGAAACGGCUACCACAUCUAAGGAAGGCAGCAGGCGCGCAAAUUACCCAAUUCUAACAGUUUGAGAGAGGUAGUAACAAGAAAUAACAAUACAAGGCAGUUAAAAUGCUUUGUAAUUGGAAUGAUAGAAAUUUAAACCCUUUUUAAAGUAUCAAUUGGAGGGCAAGUCUGGUGCCAGCAGCCGCGGUAAUUCCAGCUCCAAUAGCGUAUAUUAAAAUUGUUGCAGUUAAAAAGCUCGUAGUUGAAGUUCUGCUGAAAGUAACCGGUCUGCUUUUAAUAAAAGUGGUAUCUUGGUAUGUAUUUAGCAAUGAUGUCCUUUGAAGUGUUUUUUACUUUAUUGUAAUAAAGCAUAUUCAGGACUUUUACUUUGAGAAAAUUAGAGUGUUUCUAGCAGGCUAACGCUUUGAAUACUGCAGC
rnacentral:rRNA from 1 species